ensembl:lncRNA
GGGACAGUUCUUCCAGGUUUGGGAAAGGGGCGGGGAGCUGAGGCGAUGAGGUAAUUUUAGCGGUGACCAGUCGGUCCUCGCGCGCCUCCCCAGGUCCCUGCACCUAGUUGGAGGGGACAGAGCGACAGCAGGGUGCAACUCAGGCACCUUGGAGGACUCUCCGAGGGGUGUCGGGCUUCAACUCCGAGCCCAUGAAAUACCCCAGGGGAAGGGGAGGUGGGCCAGAUCUGAUCCUGACAUACCCUUCGCCCUCGGCGCACCGAGAAGCGUUUAAGAGGGAUGACUCCGAUCGUCAUGCACGUUAACCCUCAAACCGGUUUAGCCUGGGCAUUCCGGAACCCAGACCACAGGGCCGCGGGGAUUGCCUUUGCGUGCAACUCAGGAAAGUUUUAAGGGUCCCCCUCGACUGCACGUGCACCCUUACCUUUCCUGCCUGCGACAGCGGGUGACCUCCCUGCCCUCCUUUUUUCUCUGCAGGUCCGGAAAUCUGCGUUGAGUCUGGAACUACCCAGCUCCAGCCUUGGUAGACGACCCGCGCACUCCUCUUGCAGCUAAUUCGGGAUCAUUAAUUUAAUCGGAAAUGAGGUAACCAGUGUAGGAGAUAGAGAAAGCAAACCAAGCAUCGAAUGGCAGUUCUCGUGAAUCCACGCUGAAGAACUUCCUCUGGACUCGAUUUUUAAGCGCGGUUGUCAACACCCCACCACCCGGCCCCCUCCGCGUGUACCACCGCCAGGUGUUAGCUUGCCGGGAAGGAAUCUUCUUUGGAGGGGUGCACCUUGCCAACAGGUGUGGCACCUGGAGGAAGAGAAGGCACAUCCAUGCUAAAGGGAGGUCGGUGCGGCGUCCUCCUUAAUGCAGAUAAUUCUGGAAGACCAGUAGGUGUCGGGGCAGCAUUUGACCUCCUUCAGGUGCUUAGAACCAAGCGUCUGCAAACGUGAUCCCUCCACGUAAGUUUCUCUCUGGAAGCCACCGCUAUUGACUGUAAGCUGUAUUUAAGAAACCUUGGCUGAGUUUACUUAUGACCUAACGGUUAGUCACCAACUGAAGCAGGAUACAGAAUCACCAAGAGAAAUGUGUCAGCUUUUAAACAACUGUAUUAUUGUCAAGCCAACGUGCUACAGAAAUAAAAAUAAGCAUACUAACUAGCAAGGUGUAGAGCCCCGGAAAUGAUUUUUUUCUCACAUUUUGAAAUACCAUGCACAUGUACAUGGCUACUUAAAUAGAACUACUACUGUUCAUUCACUCUUACUCCUUUCUACAACUUUUUUUUUUUUUUCAUUUAAAAAUCAAUGAUUGCUACAGUCUAAACCUCGAGGUUGGACGAAAGUCACAUUGUUGGUCUCCUUACAGCCUCUAGUGGACAGUUUAAGAUCAGUUUCCUGAAAAGGCUCUGCCUGGUGUUCUCGGUUGAGAAGCGUUAUCAAGGUGAAGGUUAAAAUCUCAGAACGUAACCGGUACUGCAUUUCCGAAGAGCCUGAUUUAUGCACAAAUCUGCAUCAUCAUUGCUGAGAGAACACUCUGUGAGGAAUGUGCUGGGGUCCUGAACGUGAAGGUUUUCUUCACAGCAGCAGAGGGAGCACAAGAGUGCUUAGUAAAACAAGCGCACGGGCCCUCCAAGUGGUUCACUUCACUUUAUAUGUGAUGGAAAUGCUCCUAGGAGCUGAAAUAGUUCCAGAGUUCAACAGUCUGGGAAAUCUGAAGGAGGGAAAAAAACAAAAAAAAACAAAUAAGCCCUGCAUUUCCAAAGAUGUGAAGAGAGGACUCUGCUCUCUGAGGAUGGAAGGAAGUAAGAAGACCCUAUUUGUGGCUGCAGGAGAGGAAAAGAAAAAAGCCCACAAGGAAACUACCAGCAGAUGCCCCCCGGUACAUUGUUGUAUAUUCUUCGUUGUGGGUCUUUCUAGUUGUGGCAUAUGGGACGACGCCCCAGCGUGGCUUGAUGAGCAGUGCCAUGUCCGCGCCCAGGAUUCGAACCAACGAAACACUGGGCCACCUGCAGCGAAGCGCGCGAACUUAACCACUCGGCCACGAGUCGUGACAGAAGAAAUGCAGCAGGACAAAGGGGUUGGAAGGAUGUGAAAAAGAAAAGGAAAGGAAAAGAUGGUCAAACAUGCGUGUAAGGAGGGCUGUGGAGGAGGGACAUGUUGAUGGGGCAGGUGAAAUGGGUGGAGAGGGAAAGGGAACGGCAGCAAGUUUGGAUCCUCUGAGUUCCGCAACUCUAGGAAACCAGCAGCAUCACUUGGAAUCUUGUUAGAAAUUCAGAAUCUCGGCCCCAACUCAGACCUGCCCAAUUAGAAUCUGCAUUUUAACAGGAUCCCCGGGUAAUUCCUAUGCACAUUGAAGUUUCAGAAGCUCUUAGUCGCCUGCAAUCAGUCUGAGCCAAUCCUGAUGGGUGUCAUCAGCCUUAGACCUAUUAAUAGAUGAAACUGGUUUCGUUGCCUAGAGACCUGGAAAUCGGGUUCCUCUUGUCGACUCUGAGUCUCAGUGUUCUCUUACCACUUCGGCCAAAGCCUUGGGACUCCAGUCGGCCUCAGUUUCUCUGCGAAGCAUUUCAGUUCAC